rnacentral:rRNA from 1 species
GGUUGAUCCUGCCGGUCGUAUAUGCUUGUCUCAAAGAUUAAGCCAUGCAUGUCUAAGUAUAACGUUGUUUUAUACGCGAAACUGCGAAUGGCUCAUUAAAUCAGUUAUAAUAUACUUGGGGGACUGUAAGAGUUUUCUUGCUAUCGGAUACCCGUAGUAACUCUAGAGCUAAUACGUGUGAUGCAUGGCGGGGUUUUGCUCCGCCGUGGUUAUUAGGUCCAAGGCCGACCUGGGGGGCUUACCCCCUCCAGUCCCGCGGUGAAUCAUGAUAACUUUACGAACCGUUUGAUU